CAGCAGAGCCUGGUGCCCUCAGCAACCUCACUGGCUGCAUUGGGAACGUCUUCGUCAAGCGGAUCUCAGAGCCACAGAUGGUGGUGGACCUGCAGCAGAAUGUGGAGAGCAUCAAUGUCACCAUGAGCUGUCCUUGGGGCGAGCGGCCGCAGCAACUCAGAGUUGCUCUGAAGAAGGACAGGAGGAAACCCAAGGUGUCCAGCAGGCCCAGCUCCAAGGCCCGC